rnacentral:rRNA from 1 species
GAAUCCCGUCUUUGGCAUGGAUGCACCAGGGCUUCUGUGAUGCGCUCUCGAAGAGUCGAAUUGUUUGGGAAUGCAGCUCAAAAUGGGUGGUGAACUCCAUCUAAAGCUAAAUAUUGGCGAGAGACCGAUAGCGAACAAGUACCGUGAGGGAAAGAUGAAAAGCACUUUGGAAAGAGAGUGAAACAGUACGUGAAAUUGUUGAAAGGGAAACGCUUGAAGUCAGUCGCGUCGACCAAGACUCAGCCUCGCCUCGGCUUGGUGUAAUUCUUGGCCGACGGGUCAGCAUCAAUUUUGUCCUUUGGAUAAUGACGAGGGAAAGGUAGCACCUUUGCGGGUGUGUUAUAGUCUCUCGUCGCAUGCAAGGGUCGGGAUUGAGGAACUCAGCACGCGCCUUCGGGCGUCGGGGCCUUGCCCACGAUACGUGCUUAGGAUGUUGGCGUAAUGGCUUUAAACGACCCGUCUUGAAACACGGACCAAGGAGUCUAACAUGCCCGCGAGUGUUCGGGUGGAAAACCCGUGCGCGCAAUGAAAGUGAAAGUUGGGACCUCUGUCGCGGAGGGCACCGACGCCCGGACCAGAGCUUCUGCGACGGAUCUGCGGUAGAGCAUGUAUGUUGGGACCCGAAAGAUGGUGAACUAUGCCUGAAUAGGGUGAAGCCAGAGGAAACUCUGGUGGAGGCUCGUAGCGAUUCUGACGUGCAAAUCGAUCGUCAAAUUUGGGUAUAGGGGCGAAAGACUAAUCGAACCAUCUAGUAGCUGGUUCCUGCC